rnacentral:lncRNA from 1 species
GGAGAUUACAAGAUGGUAGAAUAGGGAGAGAGCUUACAACUCUAGCUAGAGAAGAUAGUUUUUUUCUCUUUCUAUUGUAUGAUUCGUCCCGAAAGUGGAGAUAGUGCAUUCUCAGGGGGAGUUAGGGAGAAAACCAUAAUGAAAUUCUGCAGAAAGAAGGGGAACCCAUGAGUCUACAUAGAGGGUGCAGACACGCAGCACUUGCACAGGCACAACACAAGAUCUCAACCAUGAAGAGCUUUGGAGAAUGAGGUGAGAUCAGGCUGCAGCAACCUGUGCCACUGGAGAUACAGCUGGGGAGAGAGCCUGGUGUGAAUCUGGCCUGGAGCUCUGUGGGAGACAAGGUACCUGCUAAUGUAGAGCAGAAAAAAAGGUCACAUUUCGCUUCCCCUUCUCCCCCCGACAACCGCAUCCAGCUGAAAGAGGAUGCCAUUUUGCACAUAAGUAACUGCUGUGCUGCGGGGCAUGAGCGCGGCCAUGGUGUAGCCAGGCCAGGCCCGGGGCUCCGCACGUGCAGCUGCUCCCGGGUGCCCUCGCCCAAGCCGCGUGGAGGGGAGCUGCGCGGAGCCAAGCCCGCAAACUAACCCGAGUCAGGGCACGUGGAGCCAGUCGGCCAGGGAUGGCGGCGCAGGGAGGGGCCCGAUGCGCGCGCACGUGGCCCCGGCCUCCGCCAUGGUGGACAGUGGCCCCACGGAGGUGCGGCGGUAACUGCUCUGGCCCCCAGACCAGGCGAUGCGGACGACGCGGACGACGCGGACGAUGCGGGGCGUGGGGGGGGGGGUGCUGUCGGCGCCAAGGAGGGGUCAACAUGAAGUGGGCCUGGCUCCAGGAGGCACAGGGCCAGCUGCAGCACCUGCAGGAGGACUUCAUCUACAGCCUGCAGGCGCUGGAGGAGUGGGAUGUGAGCUGGAGCGUGUGCACAGUGCCGCCAUGAGCAAACUGCUGUCAUGCAAGGAGGGGGAGUGGAUCCUGGAGCAGCUCCCGCGGCCACCACAGCCCCCCAGCAAGAGGAACAUUGGGAACCAGAUGGAGAGGGACCAGGCUGCCGAUGAUGAUGGCGGCAGCCUCCUCUCCAGAGGGCCCUGCGAGAGGGGCAAAGAUGAUGGCGCCCAGAGGAAAAAGAAGAGUUGA